AAAGAUUGGGGGAUUGGGUGCCUUCUUUUUAAAAAAAAAACACCGUUUCCUCCAG
rnacentral:miRNA from 1 species